rnacentral:tRNA from 1 species
AAGAGAGGUCUGGGACAAGGAAAAUUGCUUAUUUCUCCCACCAUGGUUCAAAUCCAUGGCUCCCUUA